rnacentral:lncRNA from 1 species
UAAUUAUGACGAGACUUGAAUUAAACCUGGGAGAUUAGCAGUUAACAACAAACAACCUUAAACGUGGAAAAUGAUCUAUCAAUCAUCACCUUCGUCGAUCGUCCACCCCAGCUGACGAGGUCUCCUCUGAUCCACCACCGCAGCCGUCUCCGCCGGCAAAUCGGCCAGCGUCGCGAGAGAAGAAGACGAAGAAAGCGACUGUAGAUUCGAUGAAGACGACGAAGAAGCCGCCGGGAAGUUCAUAGCCAUGAUGUUUCCCUCGCUCCACGACUUCCGGAUCGGGAACGAGAUGCUCUCCGAGCUCCCGUGGCGUCGGCACGGCUUCCGCCGCUGGUUUUGACUCUUCUUGGCGCCGUCGUGAAGCGCGCAGUCGCAGUUUUUGUGGUAGGGACGCCGCUCGAUAGCGGAGUCGAGGCCGGAGAUGCAGCCUUCGAAGAUGCAGCGGAAUAUUCCGUCGGCGGCGGACAUCGUUUGGUCUUCGAGAUCCGGCGGAGAUAAACGAAGAAAGGAUCUGAGUCUUUCGCGGAACUCAGAUUUAAUUUAACUUAUAUAAAUAAAGACAGGUUUGUUUGUUUGUUUGUGUGUAAUAAGUUAGUUAUCACGUGUACGUGUUUAUUAAAUGGGCCCAAUAAAAGCAGCGCUAACAACGUGUCUGGGCAUUAUAUAAAUAUCGCGUCUUUAUUGGGCCCAUCUCAACCUACGCGUGAUUCAUUUACUUUAACUAAAUUAAAUUAAUCGACGGCGCAAUGGUUGCCAGCCUGGCACUAGUUAAACGAUGUCGUUUCAAGCCAAUCCCUAGAAAACGACGCUGUUUAAGGUGUUCGGCUGAAACGACGACGUUCCCCGGCGAGAGCAGCCUUCUGGAGGCUGGAGACGAGCUCCGGGAGCAACGCAGGCCAGUUUCUCGGGAAAUCGUGCUUACCGAUGACGGCUAGGGCUUCGCUGAGCUGGCUCUGGAUCCUCGGGGAAGAGGAGAGCAUGAGGGAGACGAUGAGCGUCUUGAUCUGCUCCUUCUCCGAAUCCAUAAUCGGAGCGACGCCGGAGUCUGCGGAAGGGAGCCACCGCGAGCGGAGGUGGUUCUUGAAGUUGACGGCGGCGGCGUGGCGAGUCUGCUCCUCGACGGAAGGCUCCGCUACGAGACGGAGCACGGCUAAACCGUAGUUUGGUAGAUCGGCGGCUUCGGAGAGAAAUCUCUCGGCGGCGCGGCGAGGCUCGGGGAUCGGGGAGAGUGUGUGGAGGAAGCACUGCGAGAGGUUCUGGAGAGUCUCCGGAUUCCACUCCAUUGUUCGAUAGAGUUUAAUCGAUCGAUCGCGAAAGAGACGGCGAAGAGAGAGGAGUAGCUAGGGUUUCUGAUUUCAGAGGGAAACAGAAUGAUUUUUAUUUUUAAAGAGAUGACAUGACGGUGGAGAAAAGGUUCGAUGAGCUCGUCGGGUUGUACCCGAGAGACAGAUACGAUUGGGCCUUUGUUCAAUUUUUAAGCCCAUGACUUAAAUGGGCCUAACUUGGAUUCCUCGCGAGCAUUACGACUAUGGUUUCUGAGCAAGAAUCUCUGUCGGUGAGACUUUCUCGUUUCCCGAGUUAGUAUUGAUUGUUUCUUUAAUUAAAUCAGCAAGUAGAAAAACGUGUUGUAUUAGCGUAUUACGUGACGUAUGUGAAAAUUUGUGCAUGGAAUAGAACUAACUGAUUAAUGUAAAUAAGAUAAUAAAGGGACGUAUACUUCGUCGAACAGGGCGUAAAGCCGUCAACGUCCGUGGCGCUGGUCCAAAACAUAACACGUUCUUUGGUCUUCUACAUUUAAAGUAGGGUGUGACUGGUAACCAUCAAGGAACAUUAGGAAUGAUUAGGAAAAGAAUGAAUAGGAAUAAAAUUUUGGGAACGAUGAGGAACAAGGGUUCCUUAUCAAAAUUAACAAGGAACAAAUUUGCAUUAUAAUUCUCUACAAAAAAAGGAAUGGAAAGGAAUGAAGAGGUAUAUUCCUCGCGAAUGGUAACAUUUUUGAGGAACAUUAAGGAAUGCAGUGUUCCACUUCGUUCCCUUGGUUACCAUUCAAACCCGUAGUAUUGCUAUUUGCUUAACAAAAAGAGAGUUUUUUGGUCAAAUAAAUAAUAUACGAAUACUAGUAUUUUACCAGUAAAGUAAGGGUAAUUUUAUCAAAUAGCUUUUUUUAAGUUUUGUCACAAAAAUAACAUUUAAUAAGGAAAAUGACUAAAAUAACUUUUUUUUUAUUUUGAAAAUUUAAUAUUUAUUUUUUUAUUUAAAAAAAUUGAAAUCAUAUCCUCAAAACUAUAUAUAUUAACUCUAAACCUAAGUCUAUAUUAAUUAAUCCUAUGGUAUAAAUGUAUUUCUACUUUUUAAUAUAAAAAAAUUUGAUCAUUUUUUUCAUUGAAAAAUAUUUUUGUGAUAAAAACUUAAAAGGUGAUAUCUUAGAAAAUUUCCUGUAAAAUAAAUAAUACUUCUAGUAAUUAACUUUGAUGGCGUUUUUUUGUUUGUUUGUGCUGCUUGAUUCCAGUGGUUUUAGUGGUGUUUGAAUCCAGAAGGUAAUAAAUAACAAACUCCACACGAGCACGAAUAGAAUUUUGUAGCAGAAUAAUUAACAAAAGAGAAGAUAGUAUAGUAAUGAUAAGAAGAAGCAUGGCAUCUGAUGAUCAGUUUGGUUUCUCAUACUUUUUUAGUUAAGUACAGUACUUAAGCUUGCAUUUCUUACACGUGGGACGUGCUAUAUUACGAAUGAUGCUCACUAAAGUGACACGUGACGCAUGAUGUAUUUGUCGUAAUUUGAAAAUAAAGUUAAAAUGUCGAUUUCAUGGCUCCACCAUUGAAUCACGAAAAACGCGUGAUGGAUAGAAAAAAAUGGAGUUGCGUAAGCCAAUUGAUUCUUUUUUAUUGAUUACUAGUAGUACCUUUGCUCCAAUCGCCUAUCGAACUUUUAUCCGUAACUUCUUACUGUCUUUUAAAAUUUUUUUAAACGCAUAUCAUUAUUAUCUGUCAUACAUAACAGUUUAACAGAUUGCUAUAAUCACUUGUUUUGUUGAAAAAAAAAAAGAAUGUGAGACAUGAGAAGUAAUUGUCUGUAAUAAAGACCACCGUAGUCACGAGUGUCUCCACAUAACCCCACAUUUCUCCUCUUCGUUCUCUACCAUACGUUAGUAGGCUCUAUCCUCUUACUGCUUAUCCAUCAUGCUUACUUUGUUUUAUUCCAUCAAAAAUAUAAAACCUUAUCAUCUAUAUUGUCAUAUUGAGUUCACAUUUGUUUUGGUAACUAGUCUUAAGAAGCAAGAACAUGUUACCAGGCCAAAAUUAUUCUCUUAAAAGUGUAGAAAAUAGGAUUAGACGAAUCUACGUAUGCACGUAUUUUUUAGGGUAAUACUCGAUUAAAUAUGAGGGUUUUUUUUUUUUUGCUCUAUCAAAAGAUAAAAGAAUUUAUAAGUUGGUUCGACUUCCACAUUACUCAAAGAGAACCAACCAUGGCGUUAUCAUAAUAAAUUAAUAACCUACAAAAAGGGUCAACUUUAACAUGUCACAAUACAUCAUGUACAUUUAUAUUUGAGCUUCUGUAUUAUGUAAUUCGAUCGCUGAAAGCAUUUUACAAAGACACGAUAUAAAAACAUAUAGCUUUUUAAUUGUUAUAAUUUAAUUUUCUUACUGCAACCUAAAUGAUGCUCUACUAAUGAAACAAAAAAAGCAAAAAUAAUCGAUUUAUAAGAAAAUGAUACGAUGAAAACGAAUAAGCGUCAUCAUAUGUUUUUACAUUGUUAUUUUUGUAUUAAACAAAAUGGUGCUGCAUGUAUUUUAUACUAUUAUAUUUAUACUACUAUAUCUCCUACGAUUGGUUUUUACUCUUUUCAACAAUUCUGUCAUAUAAUCCAUAAACCCUUCUCGUUAAAUAAAAACUAUCAUUUUAUGUCACUGAUAGAAUCCAUCAAGUGAUCUUGCCCAAUCAUAUAUGAUUAAAUUUUCAAAAUUACUAUCAUGAACGAUAUAUAUAUUGUUACUGAUAAUAUUAUAUCCCAAUGCUAAUUAAUGUGUUUGGCUUUACUUUGCAUGUUUUCAGAUUUCAAAUUCGCUUUUGGUACUGUGAUAUAUAUUAGUAGUUAUCGUUGAUAAGUUUCUCCACAUGUCACAAGACUCCCGUGUAACUAAAUUUAUUGAAGAUAACUCUUUGUAAACUAAUAUUAUUGGUAUAGCAAAAGAUCAUGACCACUUUGUAUAUGAUACAAAGAUGUUAAAUUCAUCCCGGGUGAGUCAAGAUUCCUUCCACACGGGAAUAAAGUUGAUGUAUAAAAUAUUGCAACAUCUUAACGAUGUUAGUAAAUGCUACUCCUAUAAAUAUGUUUUUGGUUAUAACUCGAUAUAAACUUAAGCAAUUAGUACUUUAAAUCCAUAUACAGAUAAUCAUGUAAUAAAUACAUACUAUAUUUUAAUUAUUUGAAUCUAAGAGGAGCAAAACAAUAAGCAUUUCCAACCCAAGACCUUAUUUUAAGAAGAGUAAAACUUCAAAAUGAGGAUUUUUAAGUUGAUUACUCCAACCAUAAAUCAUCAAAAAAAUCUUUAGAAAUUUAUUUAUUUGUAUUAUAAUCUUUGAUAUUAACAAAAGUUACUAAUAAAUAAUUAUAAAGACCAAAAAAAAUAUAAGAUAGUUUUGAGGUUGUGAAUAGUUAAACUUUAAAUUUAAAAUUUCACUAUUCACAACUUUAAAAUUUGAAGAUUUAAGGUUAAGUUAGAAUGAUACAAAACUUCGAUUUGAGAUUGGGUUGGACAUGCUCUAAGAAAACUACAACAACACGACGAUAAGAAAAAGUUAGGUUAAAGUCAUCACAUGUGGUCUCACGGAGCGAGACUCCUUUUGUUGAACGUUACAGUUAGGCAUGAGAUUCACGCAAAUCUUAUGCGACAAAUAAUUUCUCUUCAAAUUUUUAAAAUUAAAAGGAAAACGUAAUUUUAUUAAAGACAUGUAUUAAAUUAGAGGACUUUUAGCGAGAAUAAUAAUAACAGAUAGUCCAAUUAAAUGGACCCACGUUAAUAACGAUGUCUGAAAUAAAUAACCACCCCACCAGAUAAUUCAAACGAUAUUUUUUUCUUUUGGUUUUUAUGCAUGUGAUUGCUUUUUAUUGGUUGAGACAAAAUAAUAUAAACAAUUAUAUUCAGUACUAUUUGGUACACAAAUCUAUUUAAAAAUCUUUCGACCAUGUGAUGAUGAUCUAUACUUUUUUCUAUUUUCCUAAUUAUUAUUAUUAUAUUUUAUUUUAUUUUUUUGGAUGUGAUCUAUACAAAUAUUUGAAUCUCACGUAGUUACAUAUACACGUGUUUAAAUUCACACAUUAAUCAGGUUUGUAGCUCUAAACAUUAGGAAACUCAACCAUGGUUAAGCUCAUAACCCAACUCUAAAACGUUGCAUAAGUAAACCACGGUUGGUUUUUUUAAAAGAGUCUUCUUCUUCAUACAAAACUUACCCAACUCCCCUCUCUCUCUUUCUUCUUCUCCAAACUCUUGUUUUCAUAUACCUCUUGGUUCUGCUGAAGUUUUGUUUGAGAUGAAUACGAGUGAUGUAGUAGGAUGGGAAGAUGAAGAUACUAGAUCCAUGGUUAGCGCCGUGUUAGGAAACUCAGCUUCUGAGUUUCUUACAGCAAACUCAAACUCAAAUCAGAAUCUGUUUCUCGUCAUGGGAACCGACGAUGGUCUCAACGAGAAGCUCUCUCGUCUCGUGGACUGUCCAAACUCCGAGACUUUCAGCUGGAACUACGCCGUGUUCUGGCAGCAGACCGUGUCUAGAUCCGGACAACAAGUCUUGGCUUGGGGAGACGGGUGUUGCCGCGAGCCCAAGGAAGAGGAAUCAACCGUUUGUUAUAACCUAGAGGAAGAGAUGAGGUGGCAGUACAUGAGGAAGAGAGUGCUUCAGAAGCUACACAGGAUGUUCGGUGGAUCCGAUGAAGAUGACUACGCUUUGAGCUUAGAGAACGUUACGGCUACUGAGAUGUUCUUCUUGGCUUCGAUGUAUUUCUUCUUUAACCACGGAGAAGGUGGUCCGGGAAGGUGCUUUGCUUCGGGGAGACACGUGUGGUUGUCGGAUGCGGUUGGCUCUGAUUAUUGUUUUAGGUCUUUUAUGGUUAAAUCAGCUGGGAUAAGGACUGUUGUUAUGGUUCCUACUGAUGCUGGUGUUCUUGAGCUUGGUUCGGUUUGGUCUUUGCCUGAGAAUGUAGAGUUGGUUAGGUCUGUUCAAGCUUUGUUCAUGAGGAGAGUUAAGCCACCAAACAUGAGCGGAGGAAAGAUUCACAAGCUUUUCGGACAAGAACUGAAUAGCUCGGACAAGGUAGCUCAUCAAGUGCAAGAGAAUGUGAAUGUGGUUGUUGUAGAGGAUACUAAUCACAAGGUGAUGAAGACUUCUUGUAAUGAGAAAAGACCAGCGAGUUUAUUACCGGGAGGAGUGUCUGUUGUGGAGGAGAAGAGACCGAGGAAGCGAGGGAGGAAGCCUGCUAACGGGAGAGAAGAGGCGUUGAACCAUGUGGAAGCUGAGAGGCAGAGACGUGAGAAGCUUAACCAGAGAUUCUACGCGUUACGAGCUGUUGUUCCAAACAUAUCUAAAAUGGACAAAGCUUCUUUACUUGGAGACGCCAUCUCUUACAUCAAAGAGCUUCAAGAGAGAGUAAAGAUCAUUGAAGCUGAAGGAGUAAUGACCAUUGGGACAGAAGAAAGUCAAGAAGUUGUUGACAUUCAAGCUGGGGAAGAGGAGGUUGUUGUGAGAGUAGUCUCACCGUUGGAGUCACAUCCAGCAUCAAGAAUCAUACAAGCAAUGAGAAACUCAGAGGUUGUUAGUGUUGUGGAGUCUAAGCUUUCAUUAGCUGAAGAGACACUGUUUCACACUUUUGUAGUAAAGAAUAACAACGGAUCGGAUCCUUUGACGAAAGAGAAGCUUAUAGCAGCGGCUUACCCGCAAACCGGCUUGACGCAGCAGCUAUUACUACCAUCUUCUACUUCACAGGUCUCUGGUGAUAUCUAGCUUUCAAGCUUCUUAUCUUGUUCAGUAUAGGAAGACUUUGAGGUUCAACUUAGAAAUAGAUAAAUCCUUUUUUUUUUCUCUUACUUAGAGUAAAAGUAAUCAAAUUAUAGUAUAUUUGCUAACCUUAUCAUCUGUUAGACUGAAAGUAAUACAGUCUUCGAGUGACAGUCUAUUUAAUAAGUUAAGUCGCAUAUUUGUAUCUUGAGAAUAUAAUUUUUUUUCAAAUCAAAUAAAUAAAUAUGAAAGAUAUUUUGACAUUUUCCUUCAUUUGUGAAUCAUGUCAGUGUAAUAUCUCUAAUGUUUUGUCUAUCUGAAAGCAUAUGUUUGUCCAAUAUCUUAUUAAUGUAUGCAUGAAGCAUAUGAUAUAUUGGUCCUUAAGAUUCUUACCAGUUUCAGAACACCUCACUAGGUAAGUAACUGUGAAUUGGUUUAGAUUGCUAAUGACAAAGUAAAUCAUAUAACUCACACAUGAUUAUUCAUAUCUUAGAUAAUAUUUCACUCAUUAAUAAACCAAUCAUAUAUAAGUAGACCUAUACUUCAUCUUUUUCCAUAUUCCAUGUUAAUUACUUCACCUCAUUUUAAAGUUUGGGCUUCUAGUAAAAUUAUAAAAAGCCCAUCCUCAAAAAGCCCAACUCGGCUUCACUGCUUCUUCUCCUCUCCUCCAUUUCUCAUUUGCUUAGUUUUGUUUUUUCUCCGAUCAGAUCCAAAAAGUAACUUCCCUUCCUUCGCCGCGAUGUCUCUCCGUCGUUCCAUCCUCGGCCUCCACCGCCAAACCCACAACCUCUCUCUCUCAAAGUCUUCACCUUUCCCAAUCACCAACAUCUCCUCCCCUUCCGCCGCCGUGAUCGGAAGAGAAAUCUCCUCGACCCCAUUUUCACUAACCCAGAAACUCAAACCGGACUCCGUUAAUCUCGUCGCCGAUCGUUCUCUCGGGCAAUCUCAGCUGGCUCGUCUCCCGGCUUCUCGAGGCUACAGCAACGCGUCUCUCGUACGGAAGAUCCCUGUUCUGUUCCACAUCAACGCGGGGAUGGAGGAGGUUUUGGCGGAUUACGUUCACCAAGAGCUGACCAGGAAUCUGAUGGUGAUCUCUCUGGGGUUGUUCCAGAUCAUCGUUAUCAAAGACGUCGUCGUGUUUCUUUUCUUCUGAGCAAAAGGAAUCAUCUUUUGGGGUCUCUCUCUAUCACCUGUUUAAUGAAAUAGUGAGCUAAAGUCUCUUCCUUUUUGUUUUAUCUUUCUUCUGUUAUGAAUAAGAACAUUGAUGCUUGUGUUGCUUCAGUUUCUCUUGUUUUCAAAGUUUGAUUCAGUUCGUAUAAGGCUUAAGUGGAAUUAAUAACUUUCCUGGAUUGUAGACAAGAGUAUGUCUCCUGAGGUGGAGUAAUAAGACUCUCUCUAUUUAAGCUUUGAAUUGAAUAAAAGAGAAGUUUUCUCAGCUCUCUUCUUUAUAAUUUUCAUCAAAUUUUGUUAUUCCAUACUCAACAAGUCAUCAGAAGAGAGAAAUCAAACAUAGAGAUCAUUCCUAGGCUGUACGGUUCAUACCACAAUUUAACCAUUGCUUCCACUUGAAAUGUAUUGAUGUGUGGCUCAAGAUUCAUGAUUCAUGCCCUAUUUGUCGAGACUCGCGCGCAUAAAGAUAGAAACCAUGGGUUAUAUUUAUAUGGCGACUAGUGUUUGGUUCAUUCAUGCUUUAGUUGUUGGAUUCUGUUAAAACGUUACAAUGAAUGCCCACUUUUUUAAUUUGUCUAUAUACAUGUGCGAGUGUUUACUAUGGAGUGAAGAUUGUUGUACUUGAUUAUAAGACUAGUGACUGAUAACUUUUAAAAAAAAUGUUUAUACCCAAGCAGAGUGCAUAUAGGAAUCGGUAUCAUUCUGCCCCCACUAUGUUCAUUCCACAACACUUUGUAAAAAACAUUUCUAAGAUCAAACACCCCAUCUAGAAGGAUUAUCACUCUCUGUUUCUUUUGAUAUUUUGAUCGUUGUUUCUUUGUGUUCAUAUAUUGUGGAUCCACUCUGUUACAGACAAAAUACAUGUGACUACUUUCAAAUCCACUAUGUCAAGUCAACACAUGGUGCCCCUUGUGUAAUGACAACGGAUCUUAAAGAACAACAGAGGCUAUGGCUAUUGAACAAAAGUUACACGAACUCAUAAAAGACAUGAUAAUUAACUCAACAUCGCAAACAAACAAAAAAAAAAGAGUCCACAAAAUAUCUUCAAAGUUUUGAUUAUGUUUAUGGAAGAAACUACAUAGAACAUAUUAUGACGAAAAUUAAUUAAAUCUCGGAGAUUAGCAGUUAACAACCUUAAACGUGGAAAAUGAUCGUCAUCAUCAAUCAAUAUCAUCAAACAUCUUCACCUUCAUCAAUCGUCCAUCCCAGCUGACGAGGUCUCCUCUGAUCCACCACCGCAGCCGUCUCCGCCGGCAAAUCGGCCAGCGUCGCGAGAGAAGAAGACGAAGAAAGCGACUGCAGAUUCGAAGAAGACGACGACGAAGCCGCCGGGAAGUUCAUA